rnacentral:rRNA from 1 species
AGAGUGAACGCUGGCGGCAGGCCUAAUACAUGCAAGUCGAACGGCAGCACGGCAGAGCUUGCUCUGUGGGUGGCGAGUGGCGGACGGGUGAGGAAUACAUGGGAAUCUGCCCAGUCGUGGGGAUAACGUAGAAGAAAUUUACGCUAAUACCGCAUACGAUCCAAGGAUGAAAGCGGGGACCGUAAGGCCUCGCGCGAGUGGAGCGGCUGAUAUCAGAUUAGCGUUGUUGGUGGAAGGUAAAAGCUACCACCGAAGGCGACGAUCGUGUAGUCUUGGUUGAGACGAACGACCAGCCAC